rnacentral:rRNA from 1 species
AAAUUGAAGAGUUUGAUCAUGGCUCAGAUUGAACGCUGGCGGCAGGCCUAACACAUGCAAGUCGAACGGUAACAGGAAACAGCUUGCUGUUUCGCUGACGAGUGGCGGACGGGUGAGUAAUGUCUGGGAAACUGCCUGAUGGAGGGGGAUAACUACUGGAAACGGUAGCUAAUACCGCAUAAUGUCGCAAGACUAAAGAGGGGGACCUUCGGGCCUCUUGCCAUCGGAUGUGCCCAGAUGGGAUUAGCUAGUAGGUGGGGUAACGGCUCACCUAGGCGACGAUCCCUAGCUGGUCUGAGAGGAUGACCAGCCACACUGGAACUGAGACACGGUCCAGACUCCUACGGGAGGCAGCA